AGAUGAAGAACGUAGCGAAAUGCGAUAAGUAGUGUGAAUUGCAGAAUUCAGUGAAUCAUCGAAUCUUUGAACGCACAUUGCGCCCCUUGGUAUCCCGAGGGGCAUGCAUGUUCGAGCGUCAUUUCACCACUCAAGCCUGGCUUGGUGUUGGGCGACGUCCCCUUUGGGGACGCGCCUCGAAACGCUCGGCGGCGUGGCACCGGCUUUAAGCGUAGCAGAAUCUUUCGCUUUGGAAGUCGGGGCCCCGUCUGCCGGAAGACCUACUCGCAAGGUUGACCUCGGAUCAGGCAGGGAUACCCGCUGAACUUAAGCAUAUCAAUAAGCGGAGGA
rnacentral:misc_RNA from 1 species